rnacentral:rRNA from 1 species
GGAAGUAAAAGUCGUAACAAGGGUUUCCGUAGGUGAACCUGCGGAAGGAUCAUUAAUGAAUUCACUAUGGAGUUGUUGCUGGCCUCUAGGGGCAUGUGCACGCUUCACUAGUCUUUCAACCACCUGUGAACUUUUGAUAGAUCUGUGAAGUCGUCCUUCAAGUCGUCAGACUUGGUUUGCUGGGAUUUAAACGUCUCGGUGUGACAACGCAGUCUAUUUACUUAACACACCCCAAAUGUAUGUCUACGAAUGUCAUUUAAUGGGCCUUGUGCCUAUAAACCAUAAUACAACUUUCAACAACGGAUCUCUUGGCUCUCGCAUCGAUGAAGAACGCAGCGAAAUGCGAUAAGUAAUGUGAAUUGCAGAAUUCAGUGAAUCAUCGAAUCUUUGAACGCACCUUGCGCCCCUUGGUAUUCCGAGGGGCAUGCCUGUUUGAGUGUCAUUAAAUUCUCAAACUCACAUUUAUUUGUGAUGUUUGGAUUGUUGGGGGUUGCUGGCUGUAACAAGUCGGCUCCUCUUAAAUGCAUUAGCAGGACUUCUCAUUGCCUCUGCGCAUGAUGUGAUAAUUAUCACUCAUCAAUAGCACGCAUGAAUAGAGUCCAGCUCUCUAAUCGUCCGCAAGGACAUUUUGACAAUUUGACCUCAAAUCAGGUAGGACUACCCGCUGAACUUAAGCAUAUCAAUAAGCGGAGGA